ensembl:snoRNA Snora15 small nucleolar RNA, H/ACA box 15
GCAUGGCUGAAUACUGUGUUCUUUAGUCAGUAAUUUACACAGCCAGACACCAUGCAAAAGUAAAGUCUUCCUUUGCAAUGAUCGGUAUGCUGUGUUUUAUGGUAUAUCAUCUUGAAAAGUGAGUACAAAG